rnacentral:pre_miRNA from 1 species
GGCCUCCUUCUGUGGGGUGAUUGAUCACAGGGCACCCAGAUCAAUCACCCCACAGAGGGAGGCC